rnacentral:rRNA from 1 species
AGUGAAUAAUUAAACGGCCGCGGUACCCUAACCGUGCAAAGGUAGCGUAAUCACUUGUCUAUUAAUUGUAGACCAGUAUGAAAGGCAUAAUGAGGGUUUGUCUGUCUCUUACAAUAAAUCAAUUAAACUGAUCUCCUAGUAAAAAAGCUAGAAUACACACACAAGACCAGAAGACCCUGUGAAGCUUAAACUAAACUAUUAAACCCUGUAAUACCCACUUUCGGUUGGGGCGACCUCGGAAAGAAAAAGAACUUCCAAAUAUAUGACCAUAACUCACACAUCGGCCUACAAGCCUACACAGACCCAGUACAACUGAUAAUUGAACCAAGUUACUCCAGGGAUAACAGCGCCAUCUUCUUCAAGAGUCCAUAUCAAAAAGAAGGUUUACGACCUCGAUGUUGGAUCAGGACACCCCAA